GAUAUUGACAGCUCUUCUAUCAGCUUCAAAGGAAAGAAGGUCAGACAUUAUUUCAGCAGUUGCUCCACCUAGUUUCUUGCAAAAUUUAUAGAAAUCCUCGAGAUAAGCCUUGUACAGAGUAUUUCUCAUAAUUUCAAUGUUCAUGUCAUCGAGAUCCUCUGAUGUGAUGCACUCUGCGAAGUAGGGAGCCAAUGGUGUAUCGACAAGAACCAACCUGUAAAGAUCACGCAUGUUCUGUGCCACUGCAAGACUUGCGAUACUAUCAAACAUCCCCAAAGGAUGGCAUUUCUCUAGUAGUUCGUGGACAUCUCUCUCAUGCAAGGUGCCAGUGACAAUGAGGACAACAUUAUCGAUCAUGUGACCAUACGUUAUAUACUCCAAAAAGGUAGACAAUGGCUCGGUGGCUUGGCACAACAUAUGUUUAUACUCAUCGACCAACUUGAGAGUGCAUUUCUCCACGAUUGUGGUUGUAUGUAAAGGAGAAGGUUCGUUCUGGAGAUAUGGCCCGUACUCGGUGGCGGAGAGGUGCAUCUUGAUGUCGUCGAGAGUCUCACACUGGCAGAGAUUGUUGUAAUCGGCGGCGGUGAGGAGGCCGGAGCGGUGGCCGCGCACGAUCGCCUCCAGGUAGCCGCUGUGGACGUUGAACGUCAUCGCCUCGAAUCCGUACAUCGUCUCGCCGGAGAGGGAGAAGGAGAGAUCCGAUCUGGGGAGUGGGGCGAUAUUCGAGACAGGAGGUGGAGAAGGGGGUCGGUAUCGG
rnacentral:misc_RNA from 1 species